rnacentral:rRNA from 1 species
GAUCAGCCGCCCGUCACCCUCACAACUACACUUAGAUGUCCGCCAGGGUACUACAAGCAUUAGCUUAAAACCCAAAGGACUUGACGGUGUCUCAGACCCCCUAAAGGAGCCUGUUCUAUAACCGAUAACCCCCGUUAAACCUCAUCACUCUUGGUCAUACCAGCCUAUAUACCGCCGUCGCCAGCUUACCCUGUGAAGGCAACAAAAGUAAGCAAAAUGGGCAUAGCCCAGAACGUCAGGUCGAGGUGUAGCGCAUGGAGUGGAAAGAAAUGGGCUACAUUUUCUAUCACAGAAUAUUACGAAUAUGCAUUAUGAAAAAAUGCUUGAAGGAGGAUUUAGUAGUAAAAGGGAAAUAGAGCGUCCCUUUGAACCCGGCUCUGAGACGCGCACACACCGCCCCGUCACCAUCA